UACGGGGGGGGCAAGCGUUGUUCGGAAUUACUGGGCGUAAAGGGUUUGUAGGUGGCUUGUUAAGUCAGACGUGAAAUCCCUCAGCUUAACUGGGGAACUGCGUCUGAUACUGGCGAGCUUGAGUGCAGGAGAGGAACGCGGAAUUCCAGGUGUAGCGGUGAAAUGCGUAGAUAUGUGGAGGAACACCGAUGGCGAAGGCAGCCCCCUGGGUUAACACUGACGCUCAUGCACGAAAGCGUGGGGAGCAAACAGG
rnacentral:rRNA from 1 species